AUGGGCGUCAACAGCAACGAACUCCGCGUCCUGGACGCUGGCGUGGUCAGGCCGUCCGACCUCGACCUCCCGCCGCGCUCCAUUCCGCUCACCUUCUUCGACGUCAAGUGGCUCCGCCCGCCGCCCGUCCAGCGCCUCUUCCUCUACCGUCUCCACCGCAACCACGACGUCGACCAGCUCAUCUCCGGCCUCAAGGCCUCCCUCUGCAAGGCCCUCACCCUCUUCUACCCGCUCGCCGGCCACGUCCGCCUCGCCCCGAACAGCAACAACCGCUACGAGCUCUUCUACCAGCCCGGCGACGGCGUCCCCUUCACCGCUGCCGAGUACGACGCCGACGUCGACGACCUUGCCCGUCCCUCCGACGGCGAGCCCGUGCAGGUCGCCAGGCUCGCGCCUCUCGUGCCGCCGCUGCCGAAGGGCCGCGCGGUGCUCGCCGUGCAGGCCACCGUUCUGCUCGAGGGUCGGGGCCUCGCGCUCGGCGUCACCGUGCACCACUCCGCCGGUGACGGCGCCAGCUCCACCCACUUCCUGCACACUUGGGCCGCCAUCUGCAACGGCGCUGUUGAAAUGCCGCAACCGCCCAUCAUCGACCGCACGCUCAUCGCUGAUCCCAGGGGCCUCUACGACAUCUACUCCAAAGGAAUGCCGAGCGACGGCAGCGAGAUCGAGUUCGUGACCAGCAGAAUGUCCUCUGUCCCCGACGACCAGCUCGUCGCCACAUUCACGCUGACUCAAGAGCUCCUAACUGCCAUCAAGGACGCGCUCGCCGGAGAGGCGGCCAGGCACGGUGUGCCGUCACGCAGAUGCUCGUCGAUGCUCGCCACCUAUAGCUUCAUCUGGUCCUGCUACUGCCGAGCCAAAAAGGAACAAAACCAAACAAACACAACCCACCUCCUUUUCUCCGUGGAUCACCGGGCGCGGUUGAAGCCGCCCGUCCCUGCCAAAUACUUCGGCAACUGCUGUAGCCCGGCCAUCGCCUCAGCACGCCACGGCGAGCUCGCGGCGGCCGGCACAGGAGGCCUCUUCACGGCGUUCACGGCGAUCGCGAGCGCGCUGGAGGAAGAGGUGGGCGAGGGUUCACAGGAGAGGUGGGACGGAGGCAUCGAGAGGGUGAAGGAAGCCGCGAAGGCCGGCAUGGUGUUUGUGGUGGGGUCACCCAAGUUCCGCGUGUAUGACAUCGACUUCGGUUUCGGGCGGCCGAUGAAGGUGGUGGCCAUGUCUGCGACUGCCACCGGCUCGAUGCCAGUGGCAGAUGCGCGUGACGGUGGUGGCGGUGUCGAGGUGGCGCUCUCAUUUCCGGCGGACGGCAUGGAGAAUUUUCAACGGAGCUUUGCCGAAGCCAUGCAUGCCAUCGGGAUGCAAUAA
rnacentral:rRNA from 1 species